rnacentral:tRNA from 1 species
AGGACGCUAGCUCCAAUUGGUAGAGCGAGGGAUUCCAAAUCCUUAGGUUCAGGGUUCGAAUCCCUGGCGUCCUG